UGGGACAAGAUCAUUUAGGGGCCUCUAGGCCAUGGCAAGGGCAUUUUUUUUUUUCUGGAGUAUACUCUACUUGAUCAUAUGGUAGUAUUCAUUUGAUAAGUUGCUAGAUUCUGUUUAGUUGUACUUUAUUUAGGAUUGCUGCAUCUUUAUUUGUUUUAUAGAUUGCAUUUCUCUGGAAUGACCACAGCAAUAUUUCCAGCCCUUGAUGAUCUUCUAGAACUUUGCCACUUCCCUGCAUCAAGAGGUAAAAUCCAUUUCUAUUCUCUUGAAUUGAACAGCUUCAAUGAAUUGAGUGCUGAAGAAUUAACACUCUGUGACUUCAUGACUUGUUGGAAAUUGUGAGGAAUCUCAGGCCACAUGGAGGGGCCAGUGAAGAUGUUCCAGCUUAUAGCCCCAGCUAAGGUUUCAACUAAUAGCCAGACUCAACCACCAGGUAUAUGAAUGAACCUUCAGAUGAUUCUAGUCUCCAGCCUUCAAGCUUCCCCAGUCGAUGCUGAGUGGAGCAAAAAAAGGAAUUAUUCUCACUGAGCCCUGUCCAAAUUGCAAAUACCUGACAAAAAUAAAUAUUGUUGUUUUAAGCCACUAAAUUUUGGAGGAACUUGUUAUGCAAUCAUAAAAACAGAUUUUGUUAUCUGGAAGUGAGUGCCAUGUAACAGAAAUCUAAAAUGUGGUAGUGGCUGAAGCUAGACUAGACAGGAUUAGGCAGGACUAGACAGAGGGCAGAAGGUGAGAGGGCCUUCAGGUGACUGUGGAAGGCUGAUGGACCUCAAGGAGGCUAUCAGAGAGGGUUUAGAGGAGAGUGAAAAAAUAUCAUUGGAGCUGGAGGAAAGAGGAUCAUUGUUAGGUAAUGACAUGAAGUUUGGCCACCUUAUCACCUGUGGUAAUGUGAAAAGCAGAAAAUGGUGAUUGUCUGGCUUCUUCUUGCUGCUUAUAGUAAAAUGAUAGGAGAGAGGUAAGCUAAAGAAAUAAUUGUUAAAUAUAAAGGAGCCAGAACUUCUUGGACUUGAAAAUAAAGCUUUCUCUUUUCCAGUUUUUCCUGACGGCAGAGAAUUCUAAAAUUAAGAAGAUUCUUUAUGGAAGGAGAGCAAAUCUAGGGUACUGUCAUUAAAACAUGGUUUAUCAUGAAGCCAAGGGAGUGAUUGUAAAAUCUUAGUUCUAAUACCUCAGGAAAUUUAAUGUCAUGCCUCACACAGACAGUAGUCUCUCUAAUUAUCUUAAGGACAUGACAUACCUUACAGAUCCUCUUUAUUAAAGAAAAAGUCCUUUGAGAAUUUUAAGAGCAUUGUCCCUCGGCACCCUUAUAGGAAGCUCUAGGACUUAUCUUGAAGAGAUUUGUGGGUACAGGUUUUGUCUAAUGGAGUGGAUUAUAAACAAGAAAUCCACACAGUUUUUUGUUGCAAAUUUUUUUUAGAGCAGUUUUAGUUUACACAAAAUUAAGCUGAAAGUAGAAAGUUCCUAUAUUCUCCCCAUUCCCCUCUCUCCCUAAAAUUUCCCACACUAUCAAUAUCCCUGACCAGAGUGGUACUUUUUUUUUUUUUUUUUUUUUUUUACCAU
rnacentral:lncRNA from 10 species